AAAUUUCAUCCACAUUGGAAAGGAGAAGGACAUAGACUUGGGAACACACCACCGGAGCAUAUCUGCACAUGUGGCCAAUCACAUGAGAUUGAUACCGAUGAUAUAGAGGAUGAUUCCUUGUUGGAUUAUAUUGAGGAUUCCCAGUCUGAGUCUGAAGAGGAACAAGUUACACAAGAACAAACAUAUAGUACUUCUAACACAUUAAGGCAAAGAAAGAAAAAUAUAACUGACAAUCACACAGAAAAUAAUAUUAAGGAAAAUGUACUCUUUUUAGAUAAAGAACCAGAGUUAGGAUCUCCAGGGGUAAGCAUGC